rnacentral:tRNA from 1 species
UUAAUUGAAGCCAAAUAGAGGCUUUUCAUUGUUAAUGAAAAAACUGACUUAUAGUCCAAUUAAA